AGAGUUUGAUCCUGGCUCAGGAUGAACGCUGGCGGCAUGCCUAAUACAUGCAAGUCGAACGAGGGUCCUUCGGGACUCGAGUGGCGAACGGGUGAGUAACACGUAGGGAACCUGCCCGUGCGACCGGGAGAACUUUCGGAAACGGAAGCUGAUACCGGAUAGGGACAGAGACGGCAUCGACUCUGUGUUAAAGGAGCUGAAAGGCUCCGCGCACGGAUGGACCUGCGGUGCAUUAGCUAGUUGGUGAGGUAACGGCCCACCAAGGCGACGAUGCAUAGCCGGCCUGAGAGGGCGGACGGCCACACUGGGACUGAGACACGGCCCAGACUCCUACGGGAGGCAGCAGUAGGGAAUUUUCGUCAAUGGGCGCAAGCCUGAACGAGCAAUGCCGCGUGAACGAGGAAGGUCUUCGGAUCGUAAAGUUCUGUUGAAGGGGAAAAAGAGCGGAGAGAGGAAAUGGUCUCCGAUUGAUAUUACCCUUCGAGGAAGUCACGGCUAACUACGUGCCAGCAGCCGCGGUAAUACGUAGGUGGCGAGCGUUAUCCGGAAUGAUUGGGCGUAAAGGGUGCGUAGGCGGCCUGCUAAGUCUGGAGUGAAAGGUACCGGCUCAACCGGUACAGGCUCUGGAAACUGGCGGGCUAGAGAGCAGGAGAGGGCGGUGGAACUCCAUGUGUAGCGGUAAAAUGCGUAGAUAUAUGGAAGAACACCAGUGGCGAAGGCGGCCGCCUGGCCUGUUACUGACGCUGAGGCACGAAAGCGUGGGGAGCAAAUAGGAUUAGAUACCCUAGUAGUCCACGCCGUAAACGAUGAGGACCAAGUGUUGGGGAAGACCCAGUGCUGCAGUUAACGCAGUGAGUCCUCCGCCUGGGGAGUAUGCACGCAAGUGUGAAACUCAAAGGAAUUGACGGGGGCCCGCACAAGCGGUGGAGUAUGUGGUUUAAUUCGAAGCAACGCGAAGAACCUUACCAGGCCUUGACAUAGGGUGCGAAGCUGUGGAGACAUAGUGGAGGUAAACAUCCAUACAGGUGGUGCAUGGUUGUCGUCAGCUCGUGUCGUGAGAUGUUCAGUUAAGUCUGGCAACGAGCGCAACCCUCGUGAUGUGUUACCAAUAUCGAGUUAGGGACUCACAUCAGACUGCCGGUGAGAAACCGGAGGAAGGCGGGGAUGACGUCAAAUCAUCAUGCCCCUUAUGGCCUGGGCUACACACGUACUACAAUGGCGGCGACAGAGGGCAGCGAGCCUGCGAAGGCAAGCGAAUCCCAAAAAAGCCGCCCCAGUUCGGAUUGGAGUCUGCAACCCGACUCCAUGAAGUUGGAAUCGCUAGUAAUCGCGGAUCAGCAUGCCGCGGUGAAUACGUUCUCGGGCCUUGCACACACCGCCCGUCAA
rnacentral:rRNA from 1 species